GAAGAUCUGCCAGUACUGCGGCAGGGAUCAUGGGGACCGACCCUGCUACCGCCUCAACAACACCUGUCGCAUAUGCGGUAGUGCCCAGCACUAUGCGAGGGAGUGCCCUAGGAACCAGAAUCAAGGGAGGCCUCCAAUCCAGGGCAGAGUUUACAACCUUACCCAGAAGGAUGCCGACGCAGACCCGGACGUGGUACAUGAUAAACCCAAG
rnacentral:lncRNA from 1 species